UGCCAGCCGCCGCGGUAAUACGGAGGGUGCAAGCGUUGUUCGGAAUUAUUGGGCGUAAAGCGCGUGUAGGCGGUUCGUUAAGUCUGAUGUGAAAGCCCGGGGCUCAACCCCGGAAGUGCAUUGGAAACUGGCGAACUUGAGUCCGGGAGAGGAGUGUGGAAUUCCCAGUGUAGCGGUGAAAUGCGUAGAUAUUGGGAGGAACACCGGUGGCGAAGGCGGCACUCUGGACCGGUACUGACGCUGAGGCGCGAAAGCCAGGGGAGCAAACGGGAUUAGAUA
rnacentral:rRNA from 1 species